rnacentral:rRNA from 1 species
AACGAACGCUGGCGGUAUGCUUAACACACGCAAGUCGAACGGGUGUAGCAAUACAUCAGUGGCAAACGGGUGAGUAAUACAGAGGAAUCUACCUAGCAGUAAGGAAUAACUUUGGGAAACCAAAGCUAAUGCCAUAUAUUACCCUUCGGGGGAAAGAUUUAUCGCUGUUAGAUGAGCCUCUGCGGGAUUAGCUAGUUGGUAGGGUAAUGGCCUACCAAGGCGAUGAUCCGUAGCUGGUCUGAGAGGAUGAUCAGCCACACUGGAACUGAGACACGGUCCAGACUCCUACGGGAGGCAGCAGUGGGGAAUAUUGGACAAUGGGCGCAAGCCUGAUCCAGCAAUACCGCGUGAGUGAUGAAGGUCUUCGGAUUGUAAAGCUCUUUUAGUGGAGAAGAUAAUGACGGUAUCCACAGAAAAAGCACCGGCAACCUUCGUGCCAGCAGCCGCCGUAAUAC